UCUGAGUAAUCAAAUCCCAAGGGAAAAGAAACAAGAGUUGUAAUACCUACUCCAGAGACGCUCAACCCUCAGUCCUCAGCAUUCAGGCACAUGUACAGCCAAAAGGACCUUGGGAGGCUUAUCUGAUUCAACCAUCCGCUUUAAGGAAGAUUAUAUCUAAAACUCCAAAGCACUGAAAACUCUCCCAGAGAAUGACGGUAUACAACCUGCUUUGUAUAAAAAAGAAGACCACCGUCACUACCAUAAACAUCUUGGCUGCCUCUUGACCUUCACCAGAGAAGACAGGGAAGUAUUGAACAGCACCUUUGCAGCCAAGACCUGCCUGUCUUCACUCUACAUGCCCAGUGCCAGCCCUGAGCCCAGCAGGUACCCACUGCCAUGAAGAUGGAAGGAACUGACAGUGGGUACAGGAGG